rnacentral:rRNA from 1 species
CCUACGGGAGGCAGCAGUGAGGAAUAUUGGUCAAUGGGCGGGAGCCUGAACCAGCCAAGCCGCGUGAGGGAAGAAGGUACAGCGUAUCGUAAACCUCUUUUGUCAGGGAACAAAGGCGGGGACUAGUCCCCGGAUGAGGGUACCUGAAGAAAAAGCAUCGGCUAACACCGUGCCAGCAGCCGCGGUAAUACGGAGGAUGCGAGCGUUAACCGGAUUUAUUGGGUUUAAAGGGUGCGCAGGCGGCCUGUUAAGUCAGCGGUAAAGGCUCGGGGCGAAACCCCGGCGAGCCGUUGAAACUGGCGGUCUGGAGUGGGCGAGAGGUAUGCGGAAUGCGUGGUGUAGCGGUGAAAUGCAUAGAUAUCACGCAGAACUCCGAUUGCGAAGGCAGCAUGCCGGCUCCCAACUGACGCUGAGGCACGAAAGCGUGGGUAUCGAACAGGAUUAGAUACCCGAGUAGUC